rnacentral:rRNA from 1 species
AGCGAACGCUGGCGGCAGGCUUAACACAUGCAAGUCGAACGCAUCCUUCGGGGUGAGUGGCAGACGGGAGAGUAACACGUGGGAACGUACCCUUCGAUCUGGGAUAACUUCGGGAAACUGGAGCUAAUACCGGAUACGCCCUUUUGGGGAAAGGUUUACUGUCGAAGGAUCGGCCCGCGUCUGAUUAGCUAGUUGGUGGGGUAACGGCCUACCAAGGCGACGAUCAGUAGCUGGUCUGAGAGGAUGAUCAGCCACACUGGGACUGAGACACGGCCCAGACUCCUACGGGAGGCAGCAGUGGGGAAUAUUGGACAAUGGGCGCAAGCCUGAUCCAGCCAUGCCGCGUGAGUGAUGAAGGCCUUAGGGUUGUAAAGCUCUUUUGUCCGGGACGAUAAUGACGGUACCGGAAGAAUAAGCCCCGGCUAACUUCGUG